AGGGGCGCAGCCUGAUGGAGCACGCCGCGUGUGUGAUGAAGGCUUUCGGGUCGUAAAGCACUGUUGUAUGGGAAGAACGGGUUUAAGAGGAAAUGCUUAGACAGUGACGGUACCAUACCAGAAAGGGACGGCUAAAUACGUGCCAGCAGCCGCGGUAAUACGUAUGUCCCGAGCGUUAUCCGGAUUUAUUGGGCGUAAAGCGAGCGCAGACGGUUGCUUAAGUCUGAAGUGAAAGCCCACAGCUCAACUGUGGAAUGGCUUUGGAAACUGGGCAACUUGAGUGCAGUAGAGGUAAGUGGAACUCCAUGUGUAGCGGUGGAAUGCGUAGAUAUAUGGAAGAACACCAGUGGCGAAGGCGGCUUACUGGACUGCAACUGACGUUGAGGCUCGAAAGUGUGGGUAGCAAACAGGAUUAGAUACCCUGGGUAGUCCA
rnacentral:rRNA from 1 species